rnacentral:rRNA from 1 species
GCUAGAAGAGAGCUUAGUAACAUGUUGGUGUUGCAUGAGUAUCCACUGUCUAUAGUGGACCAUGCUGGUUUUAGGAAGUUUGUUCAUGCACUUCAGCCACUAUUCAAGCUACAUACAAGAAAUACUAUUAGGCAAGAUAUUGAGGAAGAUUAUAACCAAGAAAGAAAGAAGACAAUUGAUUACAUGACUAUGAACCAAUCUAGGGUUGCUAUCACUACAGAUAUGUGGACUGCGGACCACCAAAAGAAGGGAUAUAUGGCUAUUACAGCUCAUUUCACUGAUGAAUCUUGGAAGCUUCGGAAUGUUAUCAUGAGGUUUGUAUAUGUUCCAGCUCCUCAUACAGCUGAAGUGAUAUGUGAAGUGCUCUAUGAUUCCCUGCUU